UGGGCGAAAGCCUGAUGCAGCGACGCCGCGUGAGGGAUGACGGCCUUCGGGUUGUAAACCUCUUUCAGCAGGGACGAAGCGAAAGUGACGGUACCUGCAGAAGAAGCACCGGCCAACUACGUGCCAGCAGCCGCGGUAAUACGUAGGGUGCGAGCGUUGUCCGGAAUUACUGGGCGUAAAGAGCUCGUAGGCGGUUUGUCGCGUCGUCUGUGAAAACCAGCAGCUCAACUGCUGGCUUGCAGGCGAUACGGGCAGACUUGAGUACUGCAGGGGAGACUGGAAUUCCUGGUGUAGCGGUGAAAUGCGCAGAUAUCAGGAGGAACACCGGUGGCGAAGGCGGGUCUCUGGGCAGUAACUGACGCUGAGGAGCGAAAGCGUGGGUAGCGAACAGGAUUAGAUACCCUGGUAGUCCACGCCGUAAACGGUGGGCGCUAGGUGUGGGUUUCCUUCCACGGGAUCCGUGCCGUAGCUAACGCAUUAAGCGCCCCGCCUGGGGAGUACGGCCGCAAGGCUAAAACUCAAAGGAAUUGACGGGGG
rnacentral:rRNA from 1 species